rnacentral:tRNA from 1 species
GUGUCCGUGGCGCAACUGGUUAGCGCGUCUGACUGUUAAUCAGGAGGUUGACAGUUCAAUCCUGUCCGGGGACG